GACAGAGGGUGCAAACGUUGUUCGGAAUUACUGGGCGUAAAGCGCGUGUAGGCGGCUUGGCAAGUCGGGUGUGAAAGCCCUGGGCUCAACCUAGGAAGUGCACUCGAAACUGCUUCGCUUGAGUGUUGGAGAGGAAAGCGGAAUUCUCGGUGUAGAGGUGAAAUUCGUAGAUAUCGAGAGGAACACCGGUGGCGAAGGCGGCUUUCUGGACGAUAACUGACGCUGAGACGCGAAAGCGUGGGGAGCAAACAGG
rnacentral:rRNA from 1 species